AAUAUUAUUGCAGCAGCAGGUGGUGGUCCUUGUAGUGGCUGCUGUAGCUCACGACGGGUGCAACUGCUGUGGUCGUUCUCAUCUGAGUUCAUCCACCACCUGUCUUCACUCAUCCUCCCGCCUGUGUGCUCAUAACCUUCCACAAUGCCUGCUAAAUUCGAUCCCUCGGAGAUCAAGACCGUGUGUUUGCGGUGUGUUGGAGGAGAGAGUGGCUGCCACCUCUUCUCUUGCUCCAAGAUUGGUCCCUUGGGUUCUCUCACCAAAGAAGGUUGGUGAUGACAUCAUGAAAGCCACUGGGGCUGGAAAGGUCUUAAGGUAACAGUGAAGCUCAUCAUUCAGAACCGUCAAGCACGUGUUGAGGUUGUUCCCCUCUGCUGCAUCAUUGGUGAUAAAAGGCACUCAAGGACCCCCACGUGACCGCAAAAAAGUAAAACACAAGUAUUGGUUGCACUGUGGAAGGUCAGAACCCACACGAGAUCAUUGAAGGAGUUGAUGAUGGCAGCAUAGAAGUGCCAGAAGAGUAGACAUUUUGAUCACCCACAUUUUAUGCAAGGGAAGGCAGGCACUGUCGAGACAAAGCAAACGAAGCGCAUUCCUAAGCUAGCAUUCCAUGUAAAAGGACCAGUUUGUCUUGCAUUUCCAGCUGAUAAUAAAUUGUGAUGCAA